rnacentral:rRNA from 1 species
GCAGUCGAGCGGAUGAAAGGAGCUUGCUCCUGGAUUCAGCGGCGGACGGGUGAGUAAUGCCUAGGAAUCUGCCUGGUAGUGGGGGACAACGUUUCGAAAGGAACGCUAAUACCGCAUACGUCCUACGGGAGAAAGCAGGGGACCUUCGGGCCUUGCGCUAUCAGAUGAGCCUAGGUCGGAUUAGCUAGUUGGUGAGGUAAUGGCUCACCAAGGCGACGAUCCGUAACUGGUCUGAGAGGAUGAUCAGUCACACUGGAACUGAGACACGGUCCAGACUCCUACGGGAGGCAGCAGUGGGGAAUAUUGGACAAUGGGCGAAAGCCUGAUCCAGCCAUGCCGCGUGUGUGAAGAAGGUCUUCGGAUUGUAAAGCACUUUAAGUUGGGAGGAAGGGCAUUAACCUAAUACGUUAGUGUUUUGACGUUACCGACAGAAUAAGCACCGGCUAACUCUGUGCCAGCAGCCGCGGUAAUACAGAG